rnacentral:rRNA from 1 species
GACGAACGCUGGCGGCGUGCUUAACACAUGCAAGUCGAACGGAAAGGCCCUGCUUUUGUGGGGUGCUCGAGUGGCGAAUGGGUGAGUAACACGUGAGUAACCUGCCCUUGACUUUGGGAUAACUUCAGGAAACUGGGGCUAAUACCGGAUAGGAGCUCCUGCUGCAUGGUGGGGGUUGGAAAGUUUCGGCGGUUGGGGAUGGACUCGCGGCUUAUCAGCUUGUUGGUGGGGUAGUGGCUUACCAAGGCUUUGACGGGUAGCCGGCCUGAGAGGGUGACCGGCCACAUUGGGACUGAGAUACGGCCCCGACUGCUACGGGAGGCAGCAGUGGGGCAUAUUGCGCAAUGGGCGGAAGCCUGAUGCAGCAAGGCCGCGUGCGGGAUGACGGCCUUCGGGUUGUAAACCGCUUUCGCCUGUGACGAAGCGUGAGUGACGGUAAUGGGUAAAGAAGCACCGGCUAACUACGUG